ACUCCUCCCUGGUACGCCUCCAGUCCCUUAGUCGCCAUGAUGCCACAGCUGGAACAGGUUGAGACUGCGUUUACACACUUCUGAAUGACAUCUAUUGGUCAAGAUGCCUGAUAAAAACCCACAAACUCAGACUGGACAGUAGAUCACCCAGCACACAGUCUGUUUACCAUACUGACAUCUGGAAAGUGGUAUCGCAGCAUCAUGUCCAGAACAAAGAGGCUAAAUAACAGCUUUUACCCACAGGCUAUAAGGCUAUUGAACAUGCCAGAAAGCUGUCAAUAUAACCCUGAUAUCAUUGUCACCAGCCCCUUUACUUUUGUUCUAUACUGUAUUUGCUGUAUUUGUACUGCUAUGGAAACUGUCACCAAGCUCUUUUAACGUAAAAGAAAGAACUUUCAUUCACACGUUUACACUGUGCAUAAUAAAUGUCAAAGCUGUUAUACACUA